ACGCGGGGCGGAAACCCGCGUCAUUUCCCCGAGCAAGCCAUUUCAUCUUGUCAAUUUCACCAAGCGCCAGAGUUUGGCCAUGGGAGCAGGGAGAGCGGCGCUGCCGGUGUUCCUGGCAUGCUUCUGUGGCUGCCUUUCCCAGUCUGUGCUCCAGUCCAAGAUAUCCAUCACCAGAGAGGUAGGCAAGACGGUUCGCUUUCGCUGCAGCUUUAACACGAAAAAUUUUGGUAACACUGCUGUGCAUUGGUACCGAGACGUCGGGAGCCUCGGCAUAAACCGCAUCCUGUAUGUCCAAGGCAAUUCAGGGAUAGUUCGGGACAAGGGUUCACCAGACAGAUUCGUCGCCGAAAAUUUGGAACAGGAAAAGGCAAGCUUGCUGGACAUAAGGGACAUCGAGAAAAUGGACGCAGGGGUUUACUACUGUGCGAUCUGGGACAGCACAGCGAAGCGUCACCACAGGAGCCCAGAACAAAUACCCUGCGCCCAGGCGAGAGUGACUCCAGGUCGCGGCAGGUUUAAGCGGCAAAUCCGCUUCGACCCGCAGAGGCUUAGUGACGCCUGGACACAUGGUCAGUGUUAUGGCUACUGGGUCCAGGCGCAGAUGAAGUAA